rnacentral:lncRNA from 1 species
GGUGCUCGAAUAGGAAUUUUUUAGUGAUCUUACUUCAAAUAGCUGGGUGGCUAACAUGUGUUCAACUGGAGAUUUCAGUGCUUUUACUUAAAAUAGUUAAGUAGAUAACAUGUGUUCGAUUCGUGUUUCUCUUUUUUUCAUAAUUUUUCUGUUAAGUUUGGAUAUAAAUUGACAAGUAAAAGAAGGCUAGAGGAGGAUGGGAGCUGAGGAUUCACCGGAGAAACCAAAGAAAAUGAACACAAAAAAGAGUUGAGAGGGAAACACUAUCUUUGUUCAAAAAGGUAUUAUUGCCUCACAAGUUUUCAUCUUUCAUAGUUUUAUCUGUGAUUAAGUGACUGAAAUAUAGAAGAUACUCAAAUUGAUUUGGGAUUGUGAAAAAAAUGAUUGAUUAAACCCCUCUAAUUAAAUAUAACUAUUAACCUUAUCAUCCUGAGCUACUUUAGUUUCAAGCUUCCUGGCGAUUUCGUAGCUGUAGAUUUGAUAAUGACCAGAGUUACCAGCACACCUUGGAGAGAAUAAUUCAAUUACGACCGGUGUGAUAUUAGCUACCUCAAAGUUACGGACUCUGCCGAGAAGUUCAUUGUGGUUUGUUUAGGUGUUUUUCCUUACUGAUGGGACUCUCACAAGCAAUCCUUUAUCACUCAUCCGUAAGCCUUCGCUCAUCAUUCUCAUGUUUAUUCAGUGAAGGAUAAAGAGAUUCCCGCUCAACUAAUUUAGAAUUGAUCUUCUAAUGUUUCUCUGAAGGAUAUAUAAAAGAUAAGUAUAGUUUACUUCAACUUAUUUGGAUUUGAUGCUUAGUUAAUUGAUUGAUUGAUGUCAUUUGUCCAAGUUAAUUCUUUAUGAACAAAGAAAUUAAUUUUUUUCUACGAUAAUGUGAAAUAUCAUUUUUGUCGAAAAACGCUCAUUCGCAAGGAAAUCUUUAUCUUAGAGUCUUGAUGAGAACACUGAAGCACACAUUAAGCAAGGAAAAACACUCCAACAUGUUUUUAGCCUCGCUUCAGGGCUUAAGACAUCUUUGAUAAUACUGGGAGAACCGCCGUCUGCAUUAUUUCUGAUGGAACCUCUUUGCCCAAGUAGGGAGCUCAAGUGAGCAUUUUAGUGUCUUGAGAAGACAAAGUUUGUUUCUUUUGCUUUUGAUGAAAACAAAUUUUCUGGCACAGCAGGGUGGUGCCUUACCGCACCGCAGGCGGACGCGCGGUAGCGUUCGUGGUGGUGCUUCAGGAUUCCAAUCAUGUACUACGUCCAAGAUCAGAAUGAGCUUGCCGGCGGACCAUUGUCGUCCCAUUCUUGAGUGAGCUGGAGCGCAGCAAUCUUAUCCACUGAACUAGCUAGAAGCUAUCGCUUCGGGUCGAG